GGUUCCAUGGUGUAAUGGUCAGCACGUUGGGACUUUGAAUGCCAGUGAUCCGAGUUCAAGUCUCGGUGGAACCU